UACUGUAUACAAUAAGAAAUCAUUUCCUAUUUCACCAAUGAUUGGUUCAUGUUUGCAGUAUUACAUUACUGUUUCAUUCCGCAAAAUCUGUACGGAAGACUUGAGGAUUUCUCCAAUGAACAAACUCUUUCAGAUUCUCAUUAUACAAAUUCCAUAAAAUUCAGCUGCUUCCACUUCUAUUGAUUUGAGAAUUAACCCUUCUGAAGGGAAUUUUUUUCAUGAAAGUAAUUUUUGAUUUUCAGUUUAUACUUAGUGAAUAAAAUUUCAAAUAAUCUGUAUGUAGGUUAAAGUCAUAUUGGCUAUUUGUGUAUGGUAACGUUGUAUUCAAAAUAAAUUCUUUUUUAUAUCA